rnacentral:rRNA from 1 species
AACAGGAUUAGAUACCCUGGUAGUCCACGCCGUAAGCGAUGUCGACUUGGAGGUUGUGCCCUUGAGGCGUGGCUUCCGGAGCUAACGCGUUAAGUCGACCGCCUGGGGAGUACGGCCGCAAGGUUAAAACUCAAAUGAAUUGACGGGGGCCCGCACAAGCGGUGGAGCAUGUGGUUUAAUUCGAUGCAACGCGAAGAACCUUACCUGGUCUUGACAUCCACGGAAGUUUUCAGAGAUGAGAAUGUGCCUUCGGGAACCGUGAGACAGGUGCUGCAUGGCUGUCGUCAGCUCGUGUUGUGAAAUGUUGGGUUAAGUCCCGCAACGAGCGCAACCCUUAUCCUUUGUUGCCAGCGGUCCGGCCGGGAACUCAAAGGAGACUGUUAGUGAUAAACUGGAGGAAGGUGGGGAUGACGUCAAGUCAUCAUGGCCCUUACGACCAGGGCUACACACGUGCUACAAUGGCGCAUACAAAGAGAAGCGACCUCGCGAGAGCAAGCGGACCUCAUAAAGUGCGUCGUAGUCCGGAUUGGAGUCUGCAACUCGACUCCAUGAAGUCGGAAUCGCUAGUAAUCGUGGAUCAGAAUGCCACGGUGAAUACGUUCCCGGGCCUUGUACACACCGCCCGUCACACCAUGGGAGUGGGUUGCAAAAGAAGUAGGUAGCUUAACCUUCGGGAGGGCGCUUACCACUUUGUGAUUCAUGACUGGGGUGAAGUCGUAACAAGGUAACC